AGCGAACGCUGGCGGCAGGCCUAACACAUGCAAGUCGAGCGGCCGUAGCAAUACGGCAGCGGCAGACGGGAGAGUAACACGUGGGAACGUACCCUUCAGUUCGGAACAACCAAGGGAAACUUUGGCUAAUACCGGAUACGUCCGUAAGGAGAAAGAUUUAUCGCUGAAGGAUCGGCCCGCGUCUGAUUAGCUAGUUGGUGUGGUAACGGCGCACCAAGGCGACGAUCAGUAGCUGGUCUGAGAGGAUGGUCAGCCUCACUGGGACUGAGACACGGCCCAGACUCCUACGGGAGGCAGCAGUGGGGAAUAUUGGACAAUGGGCGCAAGCCUGAUCCAGCCAUGCCGCGUGGAUGAUGAAGGCCCUAGGGUUGUAAAGUCCUUUCGGCGGGGAAGAUAAUGACGGUACCCGCAGAAGAAGCCCCGGCUAACUUCGUGCCAGCCGCCGCCGUAACAC
rnacentral:rRNA from 1 species